UCUGCACAUUGUUAGAGCUUGGAGAUGAGGCCAGUGGCCGAUGAACUCCCAAGUGUAGGUAGUGUGCUACAUGAAUGGCAAGCUUUUCACUACCAGCAGAAGGGUCUCAGGCCCAGUGACUGGAGUUUGAUACAAUUACUUGUUUCAAGU
rnacentral:snoRNA from 1 species